GGCGGACGGGUGAGUAACGCGUAAGAACUUGCCCUUUAGACUGGGAUAACAGAGGGAAACUUCUGAUAAUACUGGAUAAGUUAGUAUAUCGCAUGAUAUGCAAAUGAAAGCUACGGCACUAAAGGAGAGCUUUGCGUCCUAUUAGCUAGUUGGUAAGGUAAGAGCUUACCAAGGCGAUGAUAGGUAGCCGGCCUGAGAGGGUGGACGGCCACAAGGGGACUGAGAUACGGCCCUUACUCCUACGGGAGGCAGCAGUU
rnacentral:rRNA from 1 species